rnacentral:misc_RNA from 1 species
UCUCCGUAGGUGAACCUGCGGAGGGAUCAUUACAGAGUUCUUGCCCUUACGGGUAGAUCUCCCACCCCUGUGUAUUUAUACCUUUGUUGCUUUGGCAGGCCGUCAGGCUUCGGCCUUGCCACCGGCUCCCAGCUGGUGUGUGCCUGCCAGAGGAUCUCAAAACUCUGAAUGUUAGUGUCGUCUGAGUACUAUAUAAUAGUUAAAACUUUCAACAACGGAUCUCUUGGUUCUGGCAUCAAUGAAGAACGCAGC